rnacentral:rRNA from 1 species
UACGUAGGGUGCGAGCGUUGUCCGGAAUUACUGGGCGUAAAGAGCUCGUAGGCGGUUUGUCGCGUCGUCUGUGAAAACCCGCAGCUCAACUGCGGGCUUGCAGGCGAUACGGGCAGACUUGAGUACUGCAGGGGAGACUGGAAUUCCUGGUGUAGCGGUGAAAUGCGCAGAUAUCAGGAGGAACACCGGUGGCGAAGGCGGGUCUCUGGGCCUAAACUGACGCUGAGGGGCGAAAGCGUGGGGAGCGAACGGG